UCUCUAAAUAUGUGAUGAUAGAAGCGAAGACUUCAUCAGCAUCUUACGUGUGAUUCUGACAAACCACAUGAACUACAAGACACAUGUAGAGUCACAUUUGAUGCAGGUUGGACUCAUAAUAAUCAUAAUAAUCCCACGAGCGAUGAAAGGUUGCACUUAUCACUGUUUUGUGCAUUUAAACAUUAUCAAACUACGCAGAGUUGUUGUCACUGAUGGUUUCAGCCAUAAUGUUUCUAAUUUAUCUCUCAGUUUUACCUUUGGGGCGUUAUUACACUGCAUGAAAGUGGAAGCAGCCCCAUAAGCACUUCCUUCAUAAAACAGGUCACAUCUGCUUCACCGUCUGUGACAGCUGAGAGUUUGAGGUGUCACAAUCUGAAGCCAGAUCAGAGGAUCGUGUGUGUCGUCGUCCCCUCAGGUCACUGUACACUGCAGCAUCAGCUGAUCCUGGACCAGCAUGGAUGGAUGGACUCUGAGCUUUGUUCUGCUUCUGCCAUUAACUGUGUGUUAUGGCAGUGAAGUGACGCUUGUGAAAACUCUCGGCAGUGAACCAGAUGUGACUCCUCUCUGCACCAAUGACUCAAUGACUGUCAUCACACUUAUAAUGUGUAGGAUCAGCAGAGAGAGGAGCAGAGGAGAACAGUGUCAGCUGCUGUAUGAAUAUAAACAGGGCUUUAAACAUCGAUGUGGCUCCAGGUUCAAACUCAUAAUAGAGAAUCAGACUGUGUUCCUCCACCUGAGCAGUUUAACAGCAGAGGACAGUGGGAACUACACCUGUGAGUGUUCACAUCUUGAUGGGACAUACAUUGUCCAUCUCAACAUCACUGUAGAAGCAGACGACUAGAAGCACAGAGGAGUCCACCUCACACGGCGACAUCGACAGAAGACAUCGAGCCGUACAGCACGUUCACACGGAGAGAUUGUGGCCUGUAUUCAACCGUCAAACUGCAAAACAUGCAUCAAUGCUGAUAAUUAGAACAUGUGUAGUACAAGAUGACAAUUAUUUCUGUCUCUGUUUGCAGCCUUUUCGUGUUUUGGUGAAGUUAGAUGUUGUCCACUAGGUGGCAGUAUAUAGCUGCCUCUGCGUCACAUGAUGUUUGACACAGUUCAUUAACCUGCAGUGUUUCUAUGAAGCAAUAAACAAGCAGUUUACUGUCAGUAAAAUUUAAUGAUCUGUUUUUAAAUCAGAUUCAGAAAUAGAAAUAGAAACCUCUUCUUUUUAUGGGUUUCACAUGAAUACAUUUGUUUUCUGAUAUUUCAAUUUGUAACUCCUUUACAGUAAUUCUAAGUCACACUACACUACAUUGUGUUAUUCUGACGUACUAAGCUUCCAAUGUCUCAGUUCAACACUGAUAUCAAACAGUUUCAGAACAGUUGCCAUUUGUUUCUUUAAAACCUUAUCUGUAUAUAUGUAUAUAUG